rnacentral:rRNA from 1 species
AUUACCAGUGAGCGGCGGACGGGUGAGUAACACGUGGGCAACCUGCCCUGGGAGCGGGGGGAUAACACCUGGAAACAGAUGCUAAUACCGUAUAACAACAAGAACCACAUGGUUCUUGUUUGAAAGCUGGCCUUUGUGCUAGUGCUUCUGGAUGGACCCGCGGCGUAUUAGCUAGUUGGUGAGAUAAUAGCUCACCAAGGCAAUGAUACGUAGCAGACCUGAGAGGGUAAUCUGCCACAAUGGGACUGAGACACGGCCCAUACUCC